rnacentral:rRNA from 1 species
ACGCUCGACACCUACGGGGGCAGCAGUGGGGAAUAUUGGGCAAUGGGCGCAAGCCUGACCCAGCAACGCCGCGUGAAGGAAGAAGGCUUUCGGGUUGUAAACUUCUUUUGUCAGGGAAGAGCAGAAGACGGUACCUGACGAAUAAGCCACGGCUAACUACGCGCCAGCAGCCGCGGUAAUCUGAGCGGGCUGGCAAGGC